GGAAACCCUGACGCAGCAACGCCGCGUGGGUGAUGAAGGUCUUCGGAUUGUAAAGCCCUGUUUUCUGGGACGAUAAUGACGGUACUAGAGGAGGAAGCCACGGCUAACUACGUGCCAGCAGCCGCGGUAAUACGUAGGUGGCGAGCGUUGUCCGGAUUUACUGGGCGUAAAGGGUGCGUAGGCGGAUGUUUAAGUGGGAUGUGAAAUCCCCGGGCUUAACCUGGGGGCUGCAUUCCAAACUGGAUAUCUAGAGUGCAGGAGAGGAAAGCGGAAUUCCUAGUGUAGCGGUGAAAUGCGUAGAGAUUAGGAAGAACACCAGUGGCGAAGGCGGCUUUCUGGACUGUAACUGACGCUGAGGCACGAAAGCGUGGGUAGCAAACAGGAUUAGAUACCCUGGUAGUCCACGCCGUAAACGAUGGAUACUAGGUGUAGGGGGUAUCAACUCCCCCUGUGCCGCAGUUAACACAAUAAGUAUCCCGCCUGGGGAGUACGGUCGCAAGAUUAAAACUCAAAGGAAUUGACGGGGGGCCCGCACAAGCAGCGGAGCAUGUGGUUUAAUUCGAAGCAACGCGAAGAACCUUACCUGGACUUGACAUCCCUUGCAUAGCCUAGAGAUAGGUGAAGCCCUUCGGGGCAAGGAGACAGGUGGUGCAUGGUUGUCGUCA
rnacentral:rRNA from 1 species